UCCUCUCCUCUGUUUCCACAAACUUCAAUGCAAACAUAACAAAACCCAACAUUCAAAAAAUCCUCUAUUUUGUUAAUCACCAUUCUACGCGCCAUUGUCAUUGUUUUAUGAUUACCCAAUUUCCGUUUGUUUCUCGGGAAAAUCACAUUGGAAAGAAACCGUAGGUGUUGUGGGGGUGUGUGUGUGAGGAGUAGAACGUAUGGCGUACAAGGUGGAUCACGAAUACGAUUACCUCUUCAAGAUUGUAUUGAUUGGAGAUUCGGGUGUUGGAAAAUCGAACAUUCUUUCGAGGUUUACGAGGAAUGAGUUUUCUUUGGAGUCUAAGUCCACCAUUGGAGUUGAAUUUGCAACUAGGACAUUGCAGCUUGUGGAUGUUUAGGGUAUAGUACCAGUGUUGCCCUGCGUUAUCAUCCAGUUUACGUCCGUGCCAUGGACAAUCUAGACAGAACACUGCCAUUCUGCAGAAUAUUGUUUGGUGACAUUUGGAUCUAAAAUCUACCCAACCUUACCGUGUUACAAUACCAACUUAGCCGAUUUCAAGAUAUAAUUGAGUUGUUAGAGGUAGAGCUCUGCGCAAGGCUUCUCUUGUUGUGAGGCUAAAGCUUACCUUUCUCUUUAGUGUAGAUAAUAUUGUUUGUUAAAAAAAAAAAACUUAGUUCAAUCAAUUGGCAUUGAAGUUUAUCUAUGUGACGAUUACACCACCACGCAGGUAGACUUUUCCAAACACGUUAAUUACCAUUGUCUCAAGCUAUGUUGUAUUUUUCACAAUACUCACUAUGAAAAGGUAUAUUCUAUA